rnacentral:rRNA from 1 species
UGGGGAAUAUUGCACAAUGGGCGCAAGCCUGAUGCAGCCAUGCCGCGUGUGUGAAGAAGGCCUUCGGGUUGUAAAGCACUUUCAGCGAGGAGGAAGGUGGUGGACUUAAUACGUUCAUCAAUUGACGUUACUCGCAGAAGAAGCACCGGCUAACUCCGUGCCAGCAGCCGCGGUAAUACGGAGGGUGCAAGCGUUAAUCGGAAUUACUGGGCGUAAAGCGCACGCAGGCGGUUUGUUAAGUCAGAUGUGAAAUCCCCGGGCUCAACCUGGGAACUGCGUUUGAAACUGGCAAGCUAGAGUCUCGUAGAGGGGGGUAGAAUUCCAGGUGUAGCGGUGAAAUGCGUAGAGAUCUGGAGGAAUACCGGUGGCGAAGGCGGCCCCCCUGGACGAAGACUGACGCUCAGGUGCGAAAAGCGUGGGGAGCAAAACAGGAUUAGAUACCCUGGUAGUCCACGCUGUAAAACGAUGUCGAUUUGGAGGUUGUGCCCUUGAGGCGUGGCUUCCGGAGCUAACGCGUUAAACCGACCGCCU